rnacentral:rRNA from 1 species
UACAGAGGGUGCGAGCGUUAAUCGGAAUUACUGGGCGUAAAGCGCACGUAGGCGGCUUUGCAAGUCGGGUGUGAAAUCCCCGGGCUCAACCUGGGAACUGCAUCCGAGACUGCAUUGCUAGAGUAUGGGAGAGGGAAGCGGAAUUUCUGGUGUAGCAGUGAAAUGCGUAGAUAUCAGAAGGAACAUCAGUGGCGAAGGCAGCUUCCUGGACCACUACUGACGAUCAGGUGCGAAAGCGUGGGGAGCAAACAGG